rnacentral:rRNA from 1 species
GAUGAACGCUGGAGGCGUGCCUAAUACAUGCAAGUCGAACGCGAGAGGAGGGAGCUUGCUCCCUCUGAUCGAGUGGCGGACGGGUGAGUAACACGUAGGCAACCUGCCCAUCAGCCGGGGAUAACUGCGGGAAACCGUGGCUAAUACCGGAUAAUCCUCUCCACCGCGGGGAGGGGAGUUGAAAGACGGUUUCGGCUGUCGCUGAUGGAUGGGCCUGAGGCGCAUUAGGUGGUGGGCGGGGUAACGGCCCACCAAGGCAACGAUGCGGAGCCGACCUGAGAGGGUGAUCGGCCACACUGGGACUGAGACACGGCCCAGACUCCUACGGGAGGCAGCAGUAGGGAAUCUUCCGCAAUGGACGCAAGUCUGACGGAGCAACGCCGCGUGAGUGAAGAAGGGUUUUGGCUCGUAAAACUCUGUUGUUAAGGAAGAACGCCAGGUAGAGUAACUGCUACCUGUGUGACGGUACUUAACCAGAAAGCCACGGCUAACUACGUGCCAGCAGCCGCCGUAA